rnacentral:rRNA from 1 species
GAUUCCUACGGGAGGCAGCAGUGGGGAAUAUUGGACAAUGGGGGGAACCCUGAUCCAGCCAUGCCGCGUGUGUGAAGAAGGCCUUUUGGUUGUAAAGCACUUUAAGCGAGGAGGAGGCUACCUAGAUUAAUACUUUAGGAUAGUGGACGUUACUCGCAGAAUAAGCACCGGCUAACUCUGUGCCAGCAGCCGCGGUAAUACAGAGGGUGCGAGCGUUAAUCGGAUUUACUGGGCGUAAAGCGUGCGUAGGCGGCCAAUUAAGUCAAAUGUGAAAUCCCCGAGCUUAACUUGGGAAUUGCAUUCGAUACUGGUUGGCUAGAGUAUGGGAGAGGAUGGUAGAAUUCCAGGUGUAGCGGUGAAAUGCGUAGAGAUCUGGAGGAAUACCGAUGGCGAAGGCAGCCAUCUGGCCUAAUACUGACGCUGAGGUACGAAAGCAUGGGGAGCAAACAGGAUUAGAUACCCUGGUAGUCCAUGCCGUAAACGAUGUCUACUAGCCGUUGGGGCCCUUGAGGCUUUAGUGGCGCAGCUAACGCGAUAAGUAGACCGCCUGGGGAGUACGGUCGCAAGACUAAAACUCAAAUGAAUUGACGGGGGCCCGCACAAGCGGUGGAGCAUGUGGUUUAAUUCGAUGCAACGCGAAGAACCUUACCUGG